rnacentral:misc_RNA from 1 species
GUAGGUGAACCUGCGGAAGGAUCAUUCAUAAUAAGUGUUUUAUGGCACUUUUUUAAAUCCAUAUCCACCUUGUGUGCAAUGUCAGGGUUGAUUUUUCUCUCGAGAGGAUCAGCCCCAAACAUCAACUAUAUCUCAACUCUUUGUCUGAAAAAUAUUAUGAAUAAAACAAUUCAAAAUACAACUUUCAACAACGGAUCUCUUGGCUCUC